rnacentral:sRNA from 1 species
UAUCACAGGAAAGGUCAGUUUCCUGGCAUCACAUUUCAAAACCACAUCAUUAGGCGAUGACCUAGACAAGCUGCUGGAAAAAAUGCAACAAAGAAGAGGAGACAGUGUGGUUACCCCUUUCGAUGGAGACCUUAAUGAAUGUGUGUCACCCCAGGAGGCUGCUGCUAUGAUUCCCACACAAAACCUGGAUUUAGAUAACGAAACCUUCCAAAUUUAUCAACCGCAGCUAACAGUUGCCAGAAAACUCUUAUCCCAGGUGUGUGCUAUAGCAGACAGUGGCAGCCAGAGCCUGGACCUCGGUCACUUCAGCAAAGUAGACUUCAUCAUCAUUGUCCCCAGAUCGGAGGUGUUGGUUCAGCAAACUCUUCAACGGAUUCGACAAUCAGUGUCAUUUCAGGCUCUUUGUCACAUGGAGAACCCAGUCAUGGGCUAGCUGAUAGAGUCAUUAAUUGCAGAGAAGUUCUGGAAGCUUUCAACCUCCUGGUCCUCCAGGUCAGCUCCUUCCCAUACACUCUGCAGACCCAACAGUCCCGCAUUAGCUCUAGCAAUGAGGUUCACUGGAUACAGCUGGAUACUGGGGAGGACGUGGGCUGCGAGGAGAAGCUGUACUUUGGCUUGAAUGAGUACAGCAAGUCUCUGCAGUGGGGGAUCACGAGCCCACUUCUGAGAUGUGACGAGACUUUUGAAAAAAUGGUGAACACACUCUUGGAGAGGUACCCCAGGCUGCACAGCAUGGUCGUCCGCUGCUAUCUUCUCAUCCAGCAGUACUCUGAGGCCCUGAUGGCUCUCACCACCAUGGCGUCACUCCGAGACCACAGCACACCAGAAACACUCAGCAUUAUGGAUGACCUCAUCAGCUCCCCAGGCAAAAACAAAAGUGGGAGGGGACACAUGCUCAUUAUCAGGGUGCCCUCGGUGCAGCUGGCGAUGCUAGCCAAGGAGCGGCUACAGGAGGUGCGUGACAAACUGGGUCUGCAGUAUCGGUUUGAGAUCAUCCUUGGGAACCCAGCCACCGAACUCAGUGUUGCAACUCACUUUGUGGCGCGAUUAAAGAGUUGGAGAGGAAAUGAACCAGAAGACUGGAUCCCUCGGACAUACCAAGAUUUAGACGGUCUACCUUGUAUUGUGAUAUUAACUGGCAAAGAUCCUCUUGGAGAAACCUUUCCCAGGUCUUUGAAGUACUGUGACCUCCGGUUAAUUGACUCAAGCUAUUUAACUCGCACGGCCUUGGAGCAGGAGGUGGGUCUGGCAUGCUGCUAUGUCUCAAAAGAGGUCAUCCGGGGACCCACUGUUGCCCUGGACCUCAGCGGGAAGGAGCAGGAGAGAGCUGCUGUCAGUGAGAAUGACUCCGAUGAGCUGCUCAUCGACCUGGAGCGGCCCCAGAGCAAUAGCAGCGCUGUCACAGGGACCUCGGGUUCCAUCAUGGAGAAUGGAGUGAGCUCUUCCAGCACAGCUGACAAGUCCCAGAAGCCGUCCCUGACCCCCAGCUUUCAGAGCCCAGCCACCAGCUUGGGGCUGGAUGAAGGGGUCUCCGCCAGCUCAGCUGGAGCUGGAGCCGGGGAGACUCUGAAGCAGGAGUGUGACUCCCUGGGCCCCCAGAUGGCGAGCAGCACCACCUCCAAGCCAUCAUCGUCGUCCUCAGGACCCAGGACCCUCCCAUGGCCGGGACAGCCCAUCAGAGGCUGCCGGGGCCCACAUGCAGCCCUGCCACCAGUGGUGAUCCUAUCCAAAGCGGCCUACAGCCUCCUGGGCUCCCAGAAGAGUGGCAAGCUGCCAUCCUCCUCGUCCCUGCUGCCCCACGCCGACGUGGCCUGGGUGAGCUCCCUGCGGCCGCUCCUGAGCAAGGACAUGAGCAGUGAGGAGCAGUCCCUCUACUACAGGCAGUGGACCUCGGCCCGGCAGCACCACGCCGACUACAGCAACCAGCUGGACCCGGCCUCUGGCACCCGAAACUUCCACCCCCGGCGGCUCCUGCUGACAGGGCCCCCACAGGUGGGAAAGACGGGCUCCUAUUUACAGUUCCUCAGGAUCCUCUUCCGCAUGCUCAUCAGGCUCCUGGAGGUGGAUGUGUAUGAUGAGGAGGAGAUCAACACCGAUCACAGUGAAAGCAGUGAAGUGAGCCAGUCAGAGGGAGAGCCCUGGCCUGACAUCGAGAGCUUCAGUAAAAUGCCUUUUGAUGUCAGUGUGCAUGACCCCAAGUACAGUUUGAUGAGCCUGGUGUAUACUGAGAAGCUGGCAGGGGUCAAACAAGAAGUGAUAAAGGAAUCCAAAGUUGAAGAGCCCAGGAAACGGGAAACUGUGUCCAUAAUGCUGACCAAAUAUGCAGCCUAUAACACCUUUCACCACUGUGAACAGUGCCGCCAGUACAUGGACUUCACUUCUGCCUCCCAGAUGUCUGACUCCACCCUUCAUGCCUUCACAUUCUCUUCUUCUAUGCUGGGAGAAGAGGUUCAGCUCUAUUUCAUCAUUCCCAAAUCCAAAGAGAGUCAUUUUGUCUUCAGCAAGCAGGGCAAGCACCUGGAGAGCAUGCGGCUGCCCCUGGUUUCAGACAAGAAUUUGAAUGCAGUCAAGAGCCCAAUUUUCACUCCUUCCAGUGGUCGACAUGAGCACGGACUCCUAAACCUUUUCCACGCCAUGGAGGGCAUCAGCCACCUUCACCUCCUGGUGGUCAAAGAGUAUGAGAUGCCUCUGUACCGCAAGUACUGGCCCAACCACAUCAUGCUGGUGCUUCCCGGCAUGUUCAAUAAUGCAGGCGUGGGUAAGGGGCCCCCCUGGGAUGGGGAGAAGGGCUUCGAAGAUAAACUGAGCUCCAUUCCCCUUUCAGAUUCCCCUGCCUCUAGAAAUUGUCCUGCCCUCCUCACCACUCUUUG